AUUGAACGCUGGCGGAAUGCUUUACACAUGCAAGUCGAACGGGAGCACGGACUUCGGUCUGGUGGCGAGUGGCGAACGGGUGAGUAAUGUAUCGGAACGUGCCCAGUCGUGGGGGAUAACGUAGUGAAAAUUACGCUAAUACCGCAUACGAUCUAUGGAUGAAAGCGGGGGAUCGCAAGACCUCGCGCGAUAGGAGCGGCCGAUAUCAGAUUAGGUAGUUGGUGGGGUAAAGGCCCACCAAGCCAACGAUCUGUAGCUGGUCUGAGAGGACGACCAGCCACACUGGAACUGAGACACGGUCCAGACUCCUACGGGAGGCAGCAGUGGGGAAUUUUGGACAAUGGGCGCAAGCCUGAUCCAGCCAUUCCGCGUGCAGGAUGAAGGCCCUCGGGUUGUAAACUGCUUUUGUACAGAACGAAAGGGUUUCUACUAAUACUAGGAGCUCAUGACGGUACUGUAAGAAUAAGCACCGGCUAACUACGUGCCAGCAGCCGCAGUAA
rnacentral:rRNA from 1 species